AAGUCGUAACAAGGUUUCCGUAGGUGAACCUGCGGAAGGAUCAUUAACACUUUUUAAUGAGCAUCCAAAACCUCUUUGGAUCAACCCAACCUCUGAGCGAACCGAUUGGCAAUUUUCCCUUGCCCCCUUUUUAUUUCUUAAACUACUCUGAACAUCAUUUGUGUCUGAAUCUUUGCGCCUUGGCUUGGCUUGCGAAAGCGAAGCGAAGCGAAGCGCGAAAAAACUCUAACGCAAUACAACUCUUAACAACGGAUAUCUUGGCUCUC
rnacentral:misc_RNA from 1 species